AUUGAACGCUGGCGGCAGGCUUAACACAUGCAAGUCGAGCGGGGUGAUGGUGCUUGCACUAUCACUUAGCGGCGGACGGGUGAGUAAUGCUUAGGAAUCUGCCUAUUAGUGGGGGACAACAUCUCGAAAGGGAUGCUAAUACCGCAUACGUCCUACGGGAGAAAGCAGGGGAUCACUUGUGACCUUGCGCUAAUAGAUGAGCCUAAGUCGGAUUAGCUAGUUGGUGGGGUAAAGGCCUACCAAGGCGACGAUCUGUAGCGGGUCUGAGAGGAUGAUCCGCCACACUGGGACUGAGACACGGCCCAGACUCCUACGGGAGGCAGCAGUGGGGAAUAUUGGACAAUGGGGGGAACCCUGAUCCAGCCAUGCCGCGUGUGUGAAGAAGGCCUUAUGGUUGUAAAGCACUUUAAGCGAGGAGGAGGCUCUUUUGGUUAAUACCCAGAAUGAGUGGACGUUACUCGCGGAAUAAGCACCGGCUAACUCUGUGCCAGCAGCCGCCGCAG
rnacentral:rRNA from 1 species